rnacentral:rRNA from 1 species
ACGAACGCUGGCGGCGUGCUUAACACAUGCAGGUCGAACGGAAAGGCUCCAGCUUGCUGGAGUACUCGAGUGGCGAACGGGUGAGUAACACGUGGGUAAUCUGCCCUGCACUCUGGGAUAAGCCUGGGAAACUGGGUCUAAUACUGGAUAUGACCUUUCUCCUUAUGGGGUUUGGUGGAAAGUUUUUCGGUGUAGGAUGAGCCCGCGGCCUAUCAGCUUGUUGGUGGGGUGAUGGCCUACCAAGGCGACGACGGGUAGCCGGCCUGAGAGGGUGAUCGGCCACAUUGGGACUGAGAUACGGCCCAGACUCCUACGGGAGGCAGCAGUGGGGAAUAUUGCACAAUGGGCGGAAGCCUGAUGCAGCGACGCCGCGUGAGGGAUGACGGCCUUCGGGUUGUAAACCUCUUUCAGCAGGGACGAAGCGUAAGUGACGGUACCUGCAGAAGAAGCACCGGCUAACUAUGUG